GAUGAACGCUGGCGGCGUGCCUAAUACAUGCAAGUCGAGCGAACGGACGAGGAGCUUGCUUCUCUGAUGUUAGCGGCGGACGGGUGAGUAACACGUGGAUAACCUACCUAUAAGACUGGGAUAACUUCGGGAAACCGGAGCUAAUACCGGAUAAUAUUUUGAACCGCAUGGUUCAAUAGUGAAAGACGGUCUUGCUGUCACUUAUAGAUGGAUCCGCGCCGCAUUAGCUAGUUGGUAAGGUAACGGCUUACCAAGGCAACGAUGCAUAGCCGACCUGAGAGGGUGAUCGGCCACACUGGAACUGAGACACGGUCCAGACUCCUACGGGAGGCAGCAGUAGGGAAUCUUCCGCAAUGGGCGAAAGCCUGACGGAGCAACGCCGCGUGAGUGAUGAAGGUCUUCGGAUCGUAAAACUCUGUUAUUAGGGAAGAACAUAUGUGUAAGUAACUGUGCACAUCUUGACGGUACCUAAUCAGAAAGCCACGGCUAACUACGUG
rnacentral:rRNA from 1 species